rnacentral:rRNA from 1 species
UAACCUGCCUUGGAUGGGGAAUAACAGCUGGAAACAGCUGCUAAUACCGCAUAAUGCAGUUGGGUCGCAUGGCUCUGACUGCCAAAGAUUUAUCGCUCUGAGAUGGACUCGCGUCUGAUUAGCUAGUUGGCGGGGCAACGGCCCACCAAGGCGACGAUCAGUAGCCGGACUGAGAGGUUGGCCGGCCACAUUGGGACUGAGACACGGCCCAGACUCCUACGGAAGGCAGCAG